AUAUUCUCAACCAUUGGCUUGGGUUCAUUCCCUUGCUGAUCGUGUUGGAUUUGAGGGUGUUGUGUCGGUCCACUUCAUUUUUUUGAAGACGGUCGACUCCCUUUAAAAGCAUUUGUGGGUCUGACCUUUGUGGAUAUGCCUCGAUUUGAUAAUUAUCAAGAUGUCGUCGCAGUGAAGCAAAAGACUUGCUAUCUAACUGUCCCUGACAAGGACUGCUUGAAAAUUCAAGCAAUAAGAGUCGCUGCUUUCGGGCUUGACUUGUAAAAUAUUUGACCUCAAAUCAGGUAGGACUACCCGCUGAACUUAAGCAUAUCMAUAAGCGGAGGAAAAGAAACUAACAAGGAUUCCCCUAGUAACUGCGAGUGAAGCGGGAAAAGCUCAAAUUUAAAAUCUGGCAGGUUUACUCUUGU
rnacentral:rRNA from 1 species